rnacentral:rRNA from 1 species
AUUGAACGCUGGCGGCAGGCUUAACACAUGCAAGUCGAGCGGAGAUGAGGUGCUUGCACCUUAUCUUAGCGGCGGACGGGUGAGUAAUGCUUAGGAAUCUGCCUAUUAGUGGGGGACAACAUUCCGAAAGGAAUGCUAAUACCGCAUACGUCCUACGGGAGACAGCAGGGGAUCUUAGGACCUUGCGCUAAUAGAUGAGCCUAAGUCGGAUUAGCUAGUUGGUGGGGUAAAGGCCUACCAAGGCGACGAUCUGUAGCGGGUCUGAGAGGAUGAUCCGCCACACUGGGACUGAGAGACGGCCCAGACUCCUACGGGAGGCAGCAGUGGGGAAUAUUGGACAAGGGGGGGAACCCUGAUCCAGCCAUGCCGCGUGUGUGAAGAAGGCCUUAUGGUUGUAAAGCACUUUAAGCGAGGAGGAGGCUACCGAGACUAAUACUCUUAGAUAGUGGACGUUACUCGCAGAAUAAGCACCGGCUAACUCUGUGCCAGCCGCCGCGGUAACAC